UGGGGAAUUUUGGACAAUGGGGGCAACCCUGAUCCAGCCAUGCCGCGUGCGGGAAGAAGGCCUUCGGGUUGUAAACCGCUUUUAUUUGGGAAGAAGGAGUCGGGGCGAAUACCCUCGAUGACGGACGGUACCGGAUGAAUAAGCACCGGCUAACUACGUGCCAGCAGCCGCGGUAAUACGUAGGGUGCGAGCGUUAAUCGGAAUUACUGGGCGUAAAGGGUGCGCAGGUGGUUAUUUAAGACAGAUGUGAAAUCCCCGGGCUCAACCUGGGAACUGCGUUUGUGACUGGAUAGCUAGAGUGCGGCAGAGGGGGGUGGAAUUCCACGUGUAGCAGUGAAAUGCGUAGAGAUGUGGAGGAACACCGAUGGCGAAGGCAGCCCCCUGGGCUAACACUGACGCUCAGGCACGAAAGCGUGGGGAGCAAACAGGAUUAGAUACCCUGGUAGUCCACGCCCUAAACGAUGUCAACUGGGUGUUGGGGGAGCGAUUCCUCAGUACCGUAGCUAACGCGUGAAGUUGACCGCCUGGGGAGUACGGCCGCAAGGUUA
rnacentral:rRNA from 1 species